GCCAGACUCCUACGGGAGGCAGCAGUGGGGAAUAUUGCACAAUGGGGGGAACCCUGAUGCAGCAAUGCCGCGUGGGUGAAGAAGCACUCCGGUGCGUAAAGCCCUGUCAGCAGGGAAGAAAAUGACAGUACCUGGACAAGAAGCUCCGGCUAACUACGUGCCAGCAGCCGCGGUAAUACGUAGGGAGCAAGCGUUAUCCGGAAUUAUUGGGUGUAAAGGGUGCGUAGACGGGAUAACAAGUUGGUUGUGAAACCCCUCGGCUCAACUGAGGAACUGCAACCAAAACUAUUAUUCUUGAGUGCAGGAGAGGCAGGCGAAAUUCCUAGUGUAGCGGUGAAAUGCGUAGAUAUUAGGAGGAACACCAGUGGCGAAGGCGGCCUGCUGGACUGUAACUGACGUUGAGGCUCGAAAGCGUGGGGAGCAAACAGGAUUAGAUACCCCCGUAAAC
rnacentral:rRNA from 1 species